rnacentral:lncRNA from 1 species
AUAACAUGUUCAUUGCAUGGUUCUACAUGACUGGACUUGUCACAAUGUGACAACCUCUCUUUAUGCUUCUAUUUCCUCUUCUUUUUGCACUCUCCUUGCAGUCUCCUUCAUCAUCUUAGAUUUCCAUGUUUCUCCUAUACUCUUUCUCUUUACGUCUUCAAUUGUAUUCAAAUCAAUAUAUUCUCACUCCUUCUCCCCCCCACUCCUCUUGCAAGACAAUUUGAAAUGAUACUGUUGAUAGAUGUAUUUUAUUUCAAUGCACUAAGAAUUUUGUAAUAAGGGUUCCAUUACAUUCAGAAAAAUAGAUAAAAUUGCAUGAAUUACAUUGAAUACAGUGCAAAUACACAC